AGUUGGCGGACGAGUCCCAAAUAGGACGAAAUGCACAUCUUGAAU
rnacentral:hammerhead_ribozyme from 1 species